rnacentral:rRNA from 1 species
AGAACGAACGCUGGCGGCAGGCCUCAAACAUGCAAGUCUAGGGGGCGUAGCAAUACGUCACCGGCGGACGGGUGCGUAACACGUGGGAAUGUACCUACUGGUUCGGAACAACUCAGGGAAACUUGAGCUAAAUACCGGAUAAGCCCUUACGGGGAAAGAUUUAUCGCCAGUAGAUCAGCCCGCGUCCGAUUAGCUAGUUGGUGAGGUAAAGGCUCACCAAGGCGACGAUCGGUAGCUGUUCUGAGAGGAAGAUCAGCCACACUGGGACUGAGACACGGCCCAGACUCCUACGGGAGGCAGCAGUUGGGAAUCUUGGACAAUGGGGGAAACCCUGAUCCAGCCAUGCCGCGUGAGUGAUGAAGGCCUUCGGGUUGUAAAACUCUUUCGACGGGACGAUAAUGACGGUACCCGUAGAAGAAGCUCCGGCUAACUUCGUGCCAGCAGCCGC